GGGCGUAACAUUUGUACUCGUUUCACAGAUGCAAUAAAUUGAUGCGCGAUGAGAAAUAUUGUGCGGCCGACCGCGGUUGAAGGCAAGUUCAGGUCUGAAUUGAUCCUACCGUCGUUGAUUUCAUUUAUCAGCGAUGAAUUUCCCUACGUUUGCAAUUGUUCCAGCGGGUGGUUGUGGACAGAGGGCAGGUGUAGAUAUUCCUAAGCAGUAUUGCGACGUGUUAGGCCGACCUCUAAUUGUUUACACUCUUGAAGUUUUCCAAAGACUCGUUUGGGUUGAGAAAAUCUUUGUCGCCAUCUCACCAGAUUGGGAAGCCCAUGCGAGGGAACUAGUCCUGUCUUAUCAUCUCAGCAAAGUUGAGCUCAUAAAUGGUGGAUCCAGCCGCCACCACUCCAUCCAGAACUGUGUUCAGCAUCUGCAGAAUCACCUACUGAAGAGAAGAGAAGGGGCGGAGCUCGGAAAGCAAAAUGGCAAAGUGUUAGCUGAGGAAGAACCAAUUGUCAUUAUCCAGGAUGCCGUCAGGCCAUUUGCAGAUGAGAACAUCUUGAGGAAGGUGACUUUAGCUGCUAAGGAGCACAGGGCUUCAGGAUCUGUUCUCCCAUUAGUCUCAACCAUACUUGAGAGUGAUUCCCAAGAUGUUCUUGUCCAAUCACUGGUCAGGUCAAAGUUGAGAGAGAGCCACACCCCUCAGGCAUUCUGGUGGUCAACUCUCCGUGAGGCCUAUCAAAAGAUAACAGAUUAUGACCUAAUCCAUGGAACAGAGGUCUUGGAUCUGGCCUUAAAGUAUACUGGCUGUAGGGCUAAAUUAGUUGAGGCGCCUGACUAUGUUUGGAAGGUCACCUACAAGAAAGACUUCCUAGCAGCUGAGACUCUUGCCAAAGUUCAUAAUUCAGAAGUUUAUCUCUUGUCCAGUGAUCCAGUAACAAACAAGGUUUUGAUGACUCUUCAGAGCUGUUUAGUAUCACGCAAUUUGAAGGUCUCAGUUGUACCGACAUUGCCGGAUUCUGUGAAAUCCUUCCAUACUUCCAUUUUUCUCCACCUUGUAAAACCUGCAGAAGAGGAGGCAACCACGAAAUGUGAAGAGACAUUAAAUGCCUUACAUUUAGUCUCCAGGCCAGGCCACAGUGGCCUCCUAGCCUGCAUGUGCCACCUACACGAUGGUAGCGACAGGACAUUGGGAUUCUAUAGACGGCUCGCGAGGAGUCUAGAUACCCAGGGAAAAGCCAAGAAAGUCCAAGCAUUCCUUGUUGUCUACACAACUCCCAAAGAUGAGGAACAGCAAACAAUAUCCAAAGUCUGUGAGAUGUUAGCUGGCUUGAUAUUGGACAGGAAUCCCCAGAUGAGCGGCCAACUCUUUGUCAUCUCUGACCAGGAUUAGAGCAUCCAUGUCACCCCUGUCAGUUGUCACCAAAUUCCAGCAACUGUCAGACUGCUGAACAUUUGAUCACCUUUAAUCUUAGCCAGAUGAGAUUCACACAGCAUGUUUGCCAGGUCAGAUCACAUUAUAGUGACAUGCACUCUUGAUUCCUGUGAGAGUGCAUACAUGUAGUUUUGGUACUGGCAUGGUAAACAUUUCAUCCAGUCCAUUGGGAGUGUACCCAUUUACAAAAAGGCUUUGUGCUGCACGUUGACCCUGUGUUAGAGGAUGGGUUCAUCCUAACACCUGUGCCUUUUAUUAACAGAAACCAGUGAUGUAGUGUCGCAAUGCUGAGCUUUGGCCUUCAGGGCCUUGGCUUUAUCCUUAAAGGGUAGCUGCAAUCAAUAUGUUUUGAUGCAAACCUUCAAAAGCACCUUUGUGUCUCAGUUAACCUUAUUUUCAACAUUUGUUUCACUAUUUCGAGGGUUAAUUUUUUUGCCCUUUUGGCUUUUAUGCUAAUUAGUAUUGCUAUAUUCAUGAGAAAAACUGUGAUGUCAUCUCUGGAGGAAAGCGUCAGUGUUGGGUUGGUUUGUACGCAAAAAAGUCCUUCAAUUUUCUAGAUUUUGUUGGGCUGAAUUUUCUCCUCUUUUCUGAUUCACCGAUGUUUAUGUGCAUACGAUAAGCAAGUAUCAAAACUUUCCUCUGAAGUAUUUCAGUCAGUAAAUUCUGGGUUCACAGUUUGAACAGAAAAACCUAUGCACUGAACAAUGUCUUCCCUAGAUGACAUCACAGCAACAAGAGCCCUUAGUUGUCCAGGAAAGCAUGGCUCAUUUUAAGUGUAUAGUCCUAACAGUCCCAAAUCCUCCAAUUUUCAAAAUGAUUUUACAUACACCCUGGGGGUGGGGUUAGGGUUGAAAAAAAGCACUUUUCAAUGAAUUUAAAGAAAUAAGAAAGUAAAAGAGUUUUUAUACAUUGCAGAAUACACAGUUGCAAAAACAUGUGUUAGAAAAAUUCAUUGCAGCUGCACUUUAAGGCCUAAGGGAAAAGCCUUGGCCUUGCGGGGCCAAUGCUUUGUCAUUUUGGAGCCUUGCUAGGCCCACUGAUUUUCUUUUCCAACUUUCCAGGUAAAUUUGUUUGAAGUUUUGCACUUCUGCAAACGGUAACUUUGGGUCACAUGUGAAUUGUUUUUUAAGCCUUCAGUAUCUUAUUUAAACAUGUUUUGCCCUGUGACGGAAAAGCAUCAUAGAUUUGUACACAUUCACUAUUACUGCAUUAUAUUUGUUACCAUGCUACUUCCCCAAAACAAACUACGGUAAUUUCCGGAAUAAAAGCCGUGCGGAUUAGAAGCGGCAGCACAUAAAAAUCGGCAAAUUAAGAUUUAAAGUUGGUGUAUAAGCCGCACCAUGGUGCUGAAUGAUCCAACCAUGGAGAUCAUCAUGCUGUGCGCUGAAGCACCAGUUAUGGUUCCAUUACACAUGCAAUCUUCAUUAGCAGAGUGCCAAGGAGGGCCACUACAUGUAUCAAAAAGGAAUUUAAGUCCUUGAAAAUUACCAAUUUUUACGGGCUGGAUGAUUAUCCUGGUUGCAUGGGCCAGGCAAUUUAUGCAGACGGGGCUUGGGAUGUGCAGUAAACACUGAUAAAUCUUGAUAACUUGAAGUAGGUUAGGCCUAAGUUGAAAGUCGGACGACUUAUUCCUGCCUAAAGAAUAGGUUUUUAUGUACAAAAUGCCUCCGUAACUCGAAAUGUCCACACCACUAUAGCCGCGUAUGUUGAAAUUUGGUAACGACAAUCAAAAAACACCACAAAAUCGCUUCAAAAAUAGUAGGCGAAGGACUACUGCGAGACCUAAUAAAUAGUUCAAGUCAUCAUUGUCAUGCCCGAAUCACACAAGUGUUCACACAGAACUGCUUGUGUCGUAUGCACUGCACUGCGACCAUGACCAAUCCCACUUUCAGCUAGCCUGACUGCUACCGCAGACCCAUUUGCAGACAGUCCAAUCACUGACUCUUUCUGAUUACUACAAGGUUGCUGUAUAAGCCAGCCAGCGUGUAAGUCACAGAGAUAUUUUUCAGCGUGAGAAUCAAUGUAUGAGCUGCCUCUUAUAAUCCGAAAAUUACAGGAAUCAUUUUCUGUACAUACAACCAUGUACUUUAUUACUUGUGGCCCUAAUAUGCCUAAGGCCAGGAAGAUACAGUUAUAUAGGAUAGAUAUGUAGAAAAUUGUCUUAUCUGUGCUAAGGACUGAUGAUCAUGCUCUGAAUUCUCUACUGGUUACUUUCCACAUGGUCUGAUCUUGAGCGCAUGUCAUACAUAGUUCACUUUAUAUGUCAUCUGUAACUGGAUUUCAAUCAAUGUAAUAAACAACUGUUUUCAAACAGCCUGUGCUCCCUAAAAAAGAUGCAGAGAGGUUUCUAGCAGGGCAGGCCAUCCUGCCAAAAUUUGAUGACACCCUGCUAAAAUGUUGCCACCUGCCAAAAUUUUCACCACCUUGCUGUGUUUUUUUCCAUUGGAUUUUCCCAAUUCUCUAUUGUCUUCACAGUUAUUUAAGUAUGGAGAAGUUGCUUACACUCUGUGGAACAAACAUGAUGAGUUUACCAACAUCAGUAAACAGCAGCAUUGCAAUGGUGUUUAUGAUCAAACUCAGAUCUUGACACAUUGUACGCAACAUUAAGCAUUCGCAUCUGUACAUGUAAUACGUACACAAGAAAGCCUUUGCUUUGACCCUGGCAGAAACCCUUUGACUGGCAUCAUUUCAACCAAUAAAGCAUUUAUUUAUAACAAUCAAAAGCAACUUCCAAACAGAAUGCCAUUCCUACCGUAUGGACAGUGUAUUAUUCUUUAUGUGCUAGUUUCCUUUUACUAAUACAUCAAAGAGAGGGUUUCUCAAAAUUGCAUUUGUAAUAAUGAAAUUCACAGAGGAAGAAGCAGACUCCAUUAAUCAUGCUAAUCCACUAUUUUUUUCAGAGAUGGAUUCAAGUCAAUCACGAGUCCUUUCAGAAGCCCCUUAACAAGUCCACUAAUAAGUAACAGGGUGAACAAUGACAAAAGAAUGCUUUUGUCAGAGUUAAUUUGAAUAGCUUGUAAAUUAGCUUAAGAUUGAAUGACUUUUGAUAGACUUGUGAUGGACUUACAGGGACUUGCAGGGACUUGUGAUGGACUCUAGUACAACACUGAUUUGUUUUGUGCACACACAAAGUCUGAGAAGUCUGCAGAGGCAGACUGUGUUGAACUUAACUUUGCCACUGUGCAUAAGUGUUUUCAUUUUGGGCAAUUUAAUUCAUAGGGGAAGGGGCAGGCUAGCAUUUUUCCAAAGGAAUUUCCGGUUUUAUACUUUUUAGUCCAUAGUGUCAAAAGGUGCCAAUUUUAUGCUGUGAUUCCCCCCCCCAGUCUAGGAUUCAGUAGUUAAAUUUCAGAAUUUACUUUCCUUGUAGAACUGUCCAAAAAGUGAGUGAAAUGGGAUUGUGUAUGAUUACAUCAACAAGGUAGUCAGAGUGUCCAAAUUUCACAUUGAUACACAAAUACAUAUGUGUGCACUUGUCCUUUGUACAUAUACAUGAACCUUUAUUUUGCGAAUGCAUUUAGAUGUGCUUUAUAUUCCUCUAUCAAGCCACAUCAGCUUUGGUUGCCAAUAUACCUAUAAGCCUAGAAGUGGCCAAAACCACUAAGCAAAGGUGUGUAUCUAUCAGCUACAGCUGAAGUAUUUUAGGCCGAGCCCAGUCUGUGUCUGUCUUGCAUCAUGUUUUGUGCAAUACAGAUCAUAUUCAGUCUUGCCACCUGUAAAAACAUUUGCAAUUUUUACACAGUGUAUUCAACAAAUUUAAAGUGCUUUUUAAAACAAGUUUCUUCAAGGUAACUAAUUGUUUUUGUGUUUUUCCAUUUUACUUGCUUAUUCUGUGUAUUCAUAAUCCUUGCUUCAUAUUUGUUUUUAAUAAAUGUUAUUUUUGAGUAUGUUUUAGAAUAAACUAUAAGUUUGUUACAAAGGCUCUUGAUGACUGAUUCCCUUUUGUGAAACUAAAUUGGACAGAUGUUUGUGAUGGCGUUGCUAUGGCAGGGACUGUACAGAACAACAGUCUUCAACAGGAAUAUAUGUACGGAACCAGUGAGGACUAGAAGUUGAAGUUACAUGUACAGGCAAAAAAAGGAACAUUGGGAAGUCCUCAUCAGCUUGGACAAAACUUGGUAUACUUGAUGAGGAAGGUGACUGAGAUGGGAUUUCCUUGCGAAUAGCUGAAGUUUCACUUGGGCACACAGAUUUUGGAGCCUCUUACAAUUCUAUGCAAUUUUUUUUCUCACCAGUUGCUCCUGAUGGGAGCCAGAGUUUGUAUUGUAUUAAUUUUACUGCCAUAAAAUACUCAGUUAAAAUUUUUCAGUUAAAACUUAAUCUUUCCAAAACUCUUGGAGUCUGAAGUCUUUUAUUGAAGUUCUGCUUUGUUCACACUAAACCAGUUCAAUAUUUGGUAGCAAACUUGGCUCUGAGAAAGUACUCAACUGUUAGACCACCCUGGACCCUAUUCCACAUUGCAGUUACUAAAAUCCAUUGAACAAGAAAUCUGAACGGGGUUAGAUUUUACUUGAUUUCUCACAAAUAUAGCCUGAGAAUGUCACCACUGAUCAAAUGUCUUGACCUGUUUUAGUCUAGUGUUUGCCUUGUACCCAGAGUAAAUCCCUGUACUGAUUGAGGCAUUGCUAGAUGAUGUGCAGAUAACUGCCAUAUGAAACUUGAGGGGCGAGAUCAAGCAAGAGAUAUUUGUCGACCACUGGUCAAUUUGUCCCUGGUGACCUCUACACAAGUUGUAACCUGGAUAAAGGUACUAGGCAAAAUUGACCAGUAGUUGACCAAUGAUGGUUGCUCAAACUUCAGCUAAUAUUAGACAUUGGCAAAUGCAAUGCUUUCAUGAUCAGCAUGGUCGGCUGCUGUCAACCCAUGCUUGGAAGACUCUACGUGGUCCAUUUGGUUUUUCAACAACUUUUGUUAUGACAUAAAAUGCAUUAAAGGGGGCCAGUCAGUGAAUGUUAUGUUAGCAGUGUUUCCAUGAUGGCUUAACAUUUUUGUAAUGAGUUUAAGAGCAUUCCACAGCCUGUUUUAUAUAAGAAUCAGCAUGCGGCCCAUAACUGGAAUGGAACCAAAGAGUGGUUUCUGUUUGAAAAUGAAAACUAUCGAGUAGUGCCACAUAACCAUUGGGAGUGAACACUGGGGUACCCUUACCUCUCGUGUCUACAGCCUUAAUGUACUGCCCUUAUGUGAGAAUAGAAACAAUUAACUCUAUUUCCCUUUUGGUUUACAUAGACAUCACCACCCCUGAUGGUUUGCAAAUGGUGUCAACUUUGAAAAUGAUGUUGCCCUUGUAAUCAAUACAUAAGAAGUUUUCUUGCCACAGUUUAUGUACAUGAGAUGGUUGCCACUAAUGUUCAUGUAGCUGUCAAUCACUGGAGCAGGUACUGUUCUGAUGAGGGAUCCAUCUGGGUUAUGUAGAGAUAUGGAGCCCACUGCUAUCAGAUUAUCACCCACUGCUAGGCAUGAUGAUGCUUCACAGAUGCCUGCCGUUUUACCUGGUGUAAAGUGACAGAGGUUUAAGAUGUUGACUGCAGAUGAAGAGCAAGACUGUUCCUGCCUUAGUAGAUUCUGUAGUUGCUUUUCAACUUGGCCACUUCAUCUGCAGGCAAGAUGGUUUUCUCUGGCACAGUGGGCAUAUUAUUUCAUCGUGGGAUGGAUGCUGUCUGUGCUUGAGUUUUUGGAGGCAUUUUAGACAGAAGCUGUGGGAGCAGUUUUGCAUCUAUGGUUCUUGGUAACGGUUGUGGCAGAUUGAACAUUCCAGAUGACCCUGGAUGAUUGAACUCAAAAAGUGAUAUUGCAGUUACACUGGCUGCCAUUUUGUUUUCCUCCCUAAAGAAUAGAAAUUAACAGACAGGCUUGUGGCUAGCAGUAAGGUUUUAAAGUCAAACUCCCAAUGCUGGCUUGGGUGUACAAAAGUUUUGAAAGCAUUCAUUUGAUAACUGUGAUAUCGAAUGUGUUAAAAAUUAAGGUGAAAAAUGCUCUUACCGGUAAUUGAUUUGUUUGUGUAGAAAUAAUUAAAUCGGCCGAUAUUAUAUUUUCUCUUUUUUUGUAUUUGCGACAAAUAUACAAGGAGUGCCAAAUUCUUUAUUUUUUAAGCCUAUCAUCAUGAAAACUUGAACUCAACCGCUUUUUCACUACAGAUUCUAUAGCUGUAAGCAUACAGAUUUCUACCCCCAUCAAAAAAUGUUCAUUUUUUUCUCCCUCCACGAAGGGAGUUAGUCCAUCGUAAGUCAAAAGUCUGAUCACAGUCACAAAAGAUGGACACAUGAGGGAUUGCAUUUUUCACUGUUUCUUUGAAUAUGGCUUGUUAAUUGUUAAGUUUAUGGUUCCAUGUGCCAUUAAAUAUGUUUUGGGGGCACUGAAAAUGGUAACAGUUUGGUAAUUUGGUUGAAGUUGAUUUUGCAUUUGCCUUUUAUCGUUGCAGUUUCAGCUUAUUAACAUAGUUGUGUAGGGAUAUACAUGUAGGUGUGCAUGUAAUUACAUUUGAAAAUAAGUAAAAAUUUGAAAGCUUUAGAAAUUGAUUGAUGCCGAUGCCUGCUAGCUGUUUAAGUAGAACGUAUUCAUCCAUUUUUCAGUUUUACUUCUGGAACCACAUGGGAUAUCUGUUGCCAUUUUACAAUAUAGACCAGAACUGUAUCAUGAAUAUCUUGCCUUUUGUCUUCAUGUAACAAAAACCAAAAUAAAGAAGAAGCACAAACUCUUUGUAACCUGGCAUCAAAGGAACUUUUGCAUGUACAUGUAAUAUGACAAGAGAGAUACUAGAACAGGAUUCUGAAAUUUUAUAGCAUGGUUUCUAACUCAAAGGAAGUGUCUAGUUUUACAGUGUUCUGAGAAAGUUCCCUCAUAGGUCAAGGCAUUAUUUUUGUUUCAAAAAAUUCAGACCUGUUGUGUGACUGGCACAGAGUAGUGCAGCAAGGGGGUGCGGAAAUUCCAUUGGCCUACCAUCCCUCUAGAUUCCCCCCCCCCCCGAUUCCUCCAGGGACUAAGUUGUUGCGGUACCUGACAUCCAGGGUCAGAAAAAAUGGCUUGAUGGGCACUUUCCUGGAAUACUUCCGUGUGAUUAUUAAAGUGUGUUGCACCACUACUGUGAAAUUGUACUCAAUUUUUGUUGUAACUUUUAAAUUCCACAUGUAGGGGAAUUUUAACAAAAGAAUCCUGCUUGCAAGCAGCACACUUUGAGAUGGUGACACAGUGAAACUUCAAAUAUACAUGUAUGUGUAUUCUUAUUGUAUGUACAUUAAUGAGAAUAUUGUGUUUAGAGACCAAUAUCCUACAUAACCUCUACCGUCCUGUAGAACAGCCAAAAAAAGAAUAAUGGAUAAGUUUGGAACAGUGGAGGCAAAAGUGUUUGGAGAGUGCUAAAUUUUAGGCUACUUUGCAUCAGGAAAUAGAGUGGCUAACCUAGCCUUUGAAAAUAAUUGGGUGGCUACUUCGCCUUAGAAAAUAAUUUUAAAAA
rnacentral:misc_RNA from 1 species